GACGAACGCUGGCGGCGUGCUUAACACAUGCAAGUCGAACGGAAAGGCCCUGCUUUGGUGGGGUGCUCGAGUGGCGAACGGGGGAGUAACACGUGAGUAACCUGCCAUUGACUUUGGGAUAACUUCAGGAAACUGGGGCUAAUACCGGAUAGGAGCUACUGCUGAAUGGUGGGGGUUGGUAAGUUUCGGCGGUUGGGGAUGGACUCGCGGCUUAUCAGCUUGAUGGUGGGGUAGUGGCUUAGCAAGCCUUGGACGCGUGGCCGUGCUGGAAGGGUCACAGGCCACACUGGGAUGGAGAUACGGCCCAGACUCCUACGGGAGGCAGCGGUGCGGAGUAGUGCACUAUGGGCGGAAGCCUGAUGUAGCAACGCCGCGUGCGGUAUGACGGCAAUCGGGUUGUAUUCCACUGCCGCCUUUGACGAGGUGUGAGUGACGGUAAUGGGUAAAGAAGCACCGGCUAACUACGUG
rnacentral:rRNA from 1 species